GCCGGGUGUGGUGGCACAUGCCUGUAAUCCCAGCUACUCAGGAGGCUGAGCCAGGAGAAUCACUGGAACCCAGGAUGCUGCGGUUGCAGUGAGCCAAGAUAGUGCCACUGCACUUCAGCCUGGGUGAUAGAGUGAGACUCUGUCUCAA
ensembl:misc_RNA Metazoa_SRP Metazoan signal recognition particle RNA